rnacentral:lncRNA from 1 species
GCUUUGCUCAAAAUUAAUUCUGGGUCUUAAAAUAGGGGGUCUAGGCACUGUGGCCUGAUUAAACCCAACUGAGUGCUUGUUUGCAUGAACAUUAAAAGACAUAGAAUCUGGACUGAUUUGAGAAAUAGAUUGAACUUGUCUUUGUUUCUCAUCAUGAAGCACUAUGUUGUAAACAUUGUCAAGGGAAGGAAAUGGCUGCAUCAUCAACAUAUUACUCCUAACCCCCAUGUAUACUUCAUUUAACCCCAUAAGGAACUGGAAUACCUUGUUUUCAUCAUCUUCCUCAAUUAUUCCAUUUUUAGCAGCACACACACAUCUAUGCCCAUGAUUUGUGCACAUUGCGCCCAAUUCAUCCCACAAGCCUUUGAGCUUGUUAAAUUAUGAGGCUAUGUCUAAGGAGCCUUGAGAUGUGUGUGAAAGUUUCCUUUUUAAUUCAAAAAUAUUGGUCUUGUUAGGGGUACCAUAUCUUUUCUCAAUUUGGGACCAUAUACUCUGUGCAGUGUCAGAAUACUGCACACUAUCAGCAAUUUGAGGAGACAGGGAGGAGGUCAACCAGGAAAUGACCAUGUUAUUACACCUAUCCCACAGUCUCUGUUGAGNNNNNNNNNNNNNNNNNNNNNNNUAUCAGCAAUUUGAGGAGACAAGGAGGAGGUCAACCAGGAAAUGACCAUGUUAUUACAUCUAUCCCACAGUCUCUGUUGAGCCACAUUAGUGGAAGGACGAGGAGAUGAACCGUCAACAAAUCUGAUUUUGUUUUUAGCAUAUAAAGC